UUUCCCAGUUGCUCUACCUAAAGUUUCAGAACCACUCUGGUUAGCCCUGGUUGAGUGGUAUGUAUAUUCCCAAAUAUAGACAAUCUUUUGGCCAAAAGGAUAGAAAAAUUCUUCAUCGCAUGCCCAGUCUCUGGGGAGAGGUGAGGGAUACUUUACUGAUGAACUUGGACUAAGAAUGAGAACGAGAUACUUAUAAAUGAGAAAUGGAAGGCAGACUGGUGAACGAGCAGAUCUCUAGCUUAAAUCCCCUCCACAUGGAAAUGAAUGCUGUGGUUUAAAGUGAAAUGUCCUCUGCAGGCUCCCGUACAUAUGGUUUCCAAUGGGUGGAGCAUUACUAGAAGAAGUAGGCCAUUGGAGGAUGGCCUUGAGCUUUAUAGCUCAGACCAGUAACCUUCUGGUCUUUGCUUCUUGUUCCCAGAGAUAUGAGAAGAUGUCAAGUGCAAAGUCCAACAUAGUUUCUCCACCAUGAUAGACUCUGUCCCCUCAAAAUACCAAGAAAAAAUGGAAUUUCCAUCUGCAAUGGCUGCACACCACACUUUCUGGAGCAGUGGAGUAGAACCGAGAUGUUUGUGCCCUUUUCUCUGAGUUCCACACUCUACCACUUGCUUCACAUAUGGUCUUUGCACCAAGCUAAUUUUCCUGAAAUUCUGUAUGUGAGACAUAAAUACAGUGUGCUUCCCAACUCUA